GGAGACGUGCCAGAGCGGUUGAAUGGGCCGCACUCGAAAUGCGGUAUGCCCGAAAGGGCAUCGGAGGUUCGAAUCCUCCCGUCUCCG
rnacentral:tRNA from 4 species